rnacentral:rRNA from 1 species
GUGAGGAAUAUUGGUCAAUGGGCGAGAGCCUGAACCAGCCAAGUCGCGUGAAGGAAGACGGCCCUACGGGUUGUAAACUUCUUUUGCAAUGGAAUAAAAAGAGUUACGUGUAAUUCAUUGUAUGUACAUUGCGAAUAAGGAUCGGCUAACUCCGUGCCAGCAGCCGCGGUAAUACGGAGGAUCCGAGCGUUAUCCGGAUUUAUUGGGUUUAAAGGGUGCGUAGGCGGAUUGGAAAGUCAGCGGUGAAAGUUUGCAGCUUAACUGUAAAAUUGCCAUUGAAACUGUCAGUCUUGAGUGCAAAUGAGGUAGGCGGAAUGCGUGGUGUAGCGGUGAAAUGCAUAGAUAUCACGCAGAACUCCGAUUGCGAAGGCAGCUUACUAAGCUACAACUGACACUGAAGCACGAAAGCGUGGGGAUCAAACAGGAUUAGAAACCCUUGUAGUCC